GACAAACGCUGGCGGCAUGCCUAACACAUGCAAGUCGAACGGACAGAACAGGGAAGCUUUUCGGAGUGGAACUGGAAAGUUAGUGGCGGAUGGGUGAGUAACGCGUGGACAACCUACCUUGUAAAGGGGAAUAACCUCGAGAAAUCGAAGCUAAUACCCCAUAAUAACCUUGCUUCGCAUGAAGUAAGGAGGAAAGGCGGCCUUAGCGCUGUCGAUACAAGAUGGGUCCGCGUCUGAUUAGCUAGUUGGUGAGGUAAAGGCUCACCAAGGCGACGAUCAGUAGCCGGCCUGAGAGGGUGAACGGCCACAUUGGGACUGAGACACGGCCCAAACUCCUACGGGAGGCAGCAGUGGGGAAUCUUCCGCAAUGGGCGAAGGCCUGACGGAGCAAUGCCGCGUGAGUGAAGAAGGCCUUCGGGUUGUAAAACUCUGUCCUUAUCGAAGAGAGAGUGUUGUAGUAACUGACAAUACUAGGACGGUAGAUGAGGAGGAAGCCCCGGCUAACUAUGUG
rnacentral:rRNA from 1 species